CCUCGGCCGCGGGGUCGCCUGCGGGCCCAGACCGACAUCCUCGCAGGCCUGCGGCUGCCUCUGUGCUGAGGCUGCGCUCAGACCCCCAGGAGCAGGGCCGCCGCGCUGGGCAGCGGGCACCGCAGCCAGGCUCCUAAGGCCCUGGGAUUCCAACCCGGGCUGACCUGCGGGACUCGCCGUGUCCCCUAAAAGGCUGAAAACCCCUGGGGGCGGCUCGUGCCCUCUCUGGGUCCGCGGGAUCCAGCCCCAAACAGACCCCUUCGCCUCACACCAAUCUCCGAAAGCCGACAAGGGCCUGGCACCCAAGAGGUUGGCCUAAUGUCCAACUAAAACGGCCCAUCCCGCGGCUCACCUGUCUGUGGGGACGGGAACCCGAAGUGCUGCAGCUCAUCCCCCAGCUCCUCGCGCCGCCGGGCAUCCGUGGACCGCAGGGACUGGCUCCGGGAGCUGGUGCCACCCGCUGCUGCAGGAGCGGCUCGGGUCAGUGUCCAGGCCACAGCCUGCAGCACCGACCCCAGAAUGCGAGAGAGGCGCCCUGGGCCCUGUGGCCUUCAGUCCCUGGCCAGGCUUGCCACACCAGGGCUAUUUGGCCCCACUGGACAGCUGGGAAAGCUGGAGCCAGGAAACCCCGGCCUGACACCAGCCCCUGUCCGGUCACCAUGAGACCCCUUCCUGUGGCUCCCCUCUCCCCCUUCCUGUACCCCGUCCCUCUCUUCCCCCUGGGGUCCACCUGCAGGACUGCUAGUCCCAGCGGCUGCUGCCCUCUCCUGCUCAGCGUCCCACCAGCGCCCCUGUCUCCCGUGGCCUGGCCUCCCGACACCCCAGAGCCCUCCCCAGGUUCUUGAGAUGAGCUCCUCUCUCCAGGAAAGGUUCGUCAGGGAAUAAACCACCCGAAAAAUGA